rnacentral:rRNA from 1 species
AGAGCGAACGCUGGCGGCAGGCCUAACACAUGCAAGUCGAGCGCCGUAGCAAUACGGAGCGGCAGACGGGAGAGUAACACGUGGGAACGUACCUUUCAGUUCGGAACAACCCAGGGAAACUUGGGCUAAAUACCGGAUACGCCCUUACGGGGAAAGAUUUAUCGCUGAAAGAUCGGCCCGCGUCUGAUUAGCUAGUUGGUGGGGUAACGGCCCACCAAGGCUACGAUCAGUAGCUGGUCUGAGAGGAUGAUCAGCCUCACUGGGACUGAGACACGGCCCAGACUCCUACGGGAGGCAGCAGUGGGGAAUAUGGACAAUGGGCGCAAGCCUGAUCCAGCCAUGCCGCGUGGAUGAUGAAGGCCCUAGGGUUGUAAAGUCCUUUCGGCGGGGAAGAUAAUGACGGUACCGCAGAAGAAGCCCGGCUAACUUCGCGCCAGCAGCCGC